CGGAGCUUGCUCCACCGGAAAAAGAAGAGUGGCGAACGGGUGAGUAACACGUGGGUAACCUGCCCAUCAGAAGGGGAUAACACUUGGAAACAGGUGCUAAUACCGUAUAACAAUCGAAACCGCAUGGUUUUGAUUUGAAAGGCGCUUUCGGGUGUCGCUGAUGGAUGGACCCGCGGUGCAUUAGCUAGUUGGUGAGGUAACGGCUCACCAAGGCCACGAUGCAUAGCCGACCUGAGAGGGUGAUCGGCCACAUUGGGACUGAGACACGGCCCAAACUCCUACGGGAGGCAGCAGUAGGGAAUCUUCGGCAAUGGACGAAAGUCUGACCGAGCAACGCCGCGUGAGUGAAGAAGGUUUUCGGAUCGUAAAACUCUGUUGUUAGAGAAGAACAAGGAUGAGAGUAACUGUUCAUCCCUUGACGGUAUCUAACCAGAAAGCCACGGCUAACUACGUGCCAGCAGCCGCGGUAAUACGUAGGUGGCAAGCGUUGUCCGGAUUUAUUGGGCGUAAAGCGAGCGCAGGCGGUUUCUUAAGUCUGAUGUGAAAGCCCCCGGCUCAACCGGGGAGGGUCAUUGGAAACUGGGAGACUUGAGUGCAGAAGAGGAGAGUGGAAUUCCAUGUGUAGCGGUGAAAUGCGUAGAUAUAUGGAGGAACACCAGUGGCGAAGGCGGCUCUCUGGUCUGUAACUGACGCUGAGGCUCGAAAGCGUGGGGAGCAAACAGGAUUAGAUACCCUGGUAGUCCACGCCGUAAACGAUGAGUGCUAAGUGUUGGAGGGUUUCCGCCCUUCAGUGCUGCAGCUAACGCAUUAAGCACUCCGCCUGGGGAGUACGACCGCAAGGUUGAAACUCAAAGGAAUUGACGGGGGCCCGCACAAGCGGUGGAGCAUGUGGUUUAAUUCGAAGCAACGCGAAGAACCUUACCAGGUCUUGACAUCCUUUGACCACUCUAGAGAUAGAGCUUCCCCUUCGGGGGCAAAGUGACAGGUGGUGCAUGGUUGUCGUCAGCUCGUGUCGUGAGAUGUUGGGUUAAGUCCCGCAACGAGCGCAACCCUUAUUGUUAGUUGCCAUCAUUUAGUUGGGCACUCUAGCAAGACUGCCGGUGACAAACCGGAGGAAGGUGGGGAUGACGUCAAAUCAUCAUGCCCCUUAUGACCUGGGCUACACACGUGCUACAAUGGGAAGUACAACGAGUCGCGAAGUCGCGAGGCUAAGCUAAUCUCUUAAAGCUUCUCUCAGUUCGGAUUGUAGGCUGCAACUCGCCUACAUGAAGCCGGAAUCGCUAGUAAUCGCGGAUCAGCACGCCGCGGUGAAUACGUUCCCGGGCCUUGUACACACCGCCCGUCACACCACGAGAGUUUGUAACACCCGAAGUCGGUGAG
rnacentral:rRNA from 1 species